GGGGGCAUCCUGUCCCCCCGGCAGGUGGCCGAGGUCUCCCGCCUGCUGCAGCUGUGCCAGGCCAAGGGCCGGGUGGCGCCCUCCUCCGAGGAGCUGUUCGCCUACCUGCGCUCCGGCGACAGCAGCGGGCCCGACGUGAAGGGCGACGGGGGCCACGUGAUCCCGUCCGCCCGCAGGAACCUCGACCCCAGGCUACCCGAGGCCGGCAGGAGAGAGGUGGGUCCCCCCCGGCGCCCAUCCAGCACCCGGCCCGGCCCCGAGAAGACCCAUGGCCCUUCCAAGGGUGGGCGGAAGGCGGCCCAGAUCGGUGCCCGU
rnacentral:lncRNA from 1 species